UACGUAGGGGGCAAGCGUUGUCCGGAAUUAUUGGGCGUAAAGAGCGUGUAGGCGGUCCGGUAAGUCCGCUGUGAAAGUCGGGGGCUCAACCCUCGAAUGCCGGUGGAUACUGUCGGGCUAGAGUGCGGAAGAGGCGAGUGGAAUUCCUGGUGUAGCGGUGAAAUGCGCAGAUAUCAGGAGGAACACCUAUUGCGAAGGCAGCUCGCUGGGACGUAACUGACGCGUGAGACGGCGAAAGCCAGGGGAGCGAACGGG
rnacentral:rRNA from 1 species